UACGUAGGUGGCAAGCGUUGUCCGGAUUUACUGGGCGUAAAGAGCGCGCAGGCGGUCGUUCAAGUCGCGUGUGAAAGCCCCCGGCUCAACUGGGGAGGGUCACGCGAUACUGAUCGACUCGAAGGCAGGAGAGGGUAGUGGAAUUCCCGGUGUAGUGGUGAAAUGCGUAGAUAUCGGGAGGAACACCAGUGGCGAAGGCGACUUCCUGGCCUGUUCUUGACGCUGAGGAGCGAAAGCCAGGGGAGCAAACGGG
rnacentral:rRNA from 1 species